ensembl:lncRNA
AUCUGGUUGUUUAAAAGUGAGUGGCACCUCCUCCCUCUGUCUUGCUUCUGCUUAUGCCAACUGAUGUGCCUGCUCCUGCUUCAUCUUCCACCAUGAGUAAAAGCCUCCUGAGGCCUCACCAGAAGCUUAGCAGAUGCAGGUGCCAUAAUUCCUGUGUAGCCUGCAGAACUGCUUGUGGAUUUGGGAAGAAGUGGUUCAGUCCACCAUCUUGUUUUCCUCCUACCUAAUUUAAAUCGAUGACAUGAAAGCCAUCAUAGAGAUGUUUUGUGAGAAUCAAAAGAAAAAUCAUCAGAGAAUUAUCCAAUCCUGUGAAUUACGGAAAUAAGAUUUCCUCUUUCAUUCUGACUAUGUGGUUUCCAAAAAUAACACACCAAUUUAACAAGUAUUUGUUGCGAGUAUUCUAUAUGCCAGACAUGAUCAUAGGUUUUGAUGAUACAGUGAUGAACAAAACAACCUCAGCCUUGCAGAACCCUUUGUGUGAUCUAGGAGUUUGAGAAAAGAGUAAGAACUUUCUACCAUUCAGUGUCUUAUUACUAAUACCGACCAUUUGCAUGGAAAUUUGCAAAGUGUGUGUGUGUGUGUGUGUGUGUGUGUGUUUUUAGACAGAGCUCAUUCAGUCACCCAGGCUGGAGUGCAAUGGUGCGAUCUCAGCUCACUGCAACCUCCACCUUCCAGGUUCAAAUGACUCUCCUGCCUCAGCCUCUGGAGUAGCUGGAAUUACAGGUGCACACCACACACACCUAGCUAAUUUUUGUAUUUUUAGUAGAGAUGGGGCUUCACCUUGUUGGCCAGGCUGGUCUCAAAUGCCUGACCUCAGGUGAUCCACCCACCUCGGCCUCCCAAAGUGCUGGGAUUACAGGUGUGAGCCACCAUGCCCUGCUGCAAAGUGCUUUUAAAUACAGAAGUCAUUUUGGUUGAUUGGGCUGGUUUCAUGAUUUUGCAAUUGUGAAUUGUGCUGCUAUAAACAUGCAUGUGCAAGUAUCAUUUUUGUAUAAUGACUUCUUUUCCUCUGGGUAGAUACCCAGUAUUGGGAUUGCUGGAUCAAAUGGUAGUUCUACUUUGGGUUCUUUAAAAAAUCUCCACACUGGUUUCUAUAGUGGUUGUACUUGUUUAUAUUCCCACUGAGGAGUGUAGAAGUGUUUUCUGAUCACCACACCUAUGCCAACAUAUACUGUUUUUUGAUUUUUUGAUUGUGGCCAUUCUUGCAGGUGUAAGGUGAUAUGGUAUUGCGGUUUUAAUCUGCAUUUCUCUGAUCAUUAGUGAUAUUGAGCAUUUUUUUCAUGUGUUUGUUGGUCAUUUGUAUAUCUUCCUUUGAGAAUUGUCUAUUCAUGUCCUUAUCCCAUUUUCUGAUGGGAUUGUUUUUUUCUUGCUGAUUUGUUUGAGUUCAUUGUAGAUUUUGGAUAUCAGUCUUCUGUCAGAUGUAUAGAUUGUGAGGAUUUUCUCUCACUCUGUGGGUUGUCUUUUUACUCUGCUGCCUGUUCCUUUUGCAGUGCAAAUGCUUUUUAGUUUAAUUAGGUCCCAUUUGUCUUUGUUUUUAUAGCAUUUCCCUUUGGGUUCUUGGUCAUGAAAUCCUUGCCUAAGCCAAUGUCUAGAAGGGUUUUUCCAAUGUUAUCUUCUAGAAUUUUUAUAGUUUCAGGUAUGAAAGUCCUUAAUUCAUCUUGAGUUGACUUUUGUAUAAGGUGAGAAAUGAGGAUCCAGUUUCAUUCUCCUGCUUGUGACUAGCCAAUUAUCCCAGCACCAUUUGUUGAAAAGGGGGUGUCCUUUUCCCACUUUAUGUUUUUGUUUGCUUUGUUAAAGAUCAGUUGACUGUAAGUAUUUGGAUUUAUUUCUGGGUUCUCUAUCAGUUGACUGUAAGUAUUUGGGUUGAUUUCUGGGUUCUCUAUUCUGUUCCAUUGGUCUAUGUGCCUAUUUUUAUACCCUGCUGUUUUGGUGAUUAUGGCCUUAUAGUAUAGUUUGAAAUCUGGUAGUGUGAUGCCUCCAGACUUGUUCUUUUUGCUUAGUCUUGCUUUGGCUAUGGAGGCUUUUUUUUGGGUUCCAUAUGAAUUUUAGAAUUGCUUUUUUCAAAUUCUGUGAAGAAUGAUGGUGGUAUUUUAAUAGGGAUUGCAUUGAAUUUGUAGAUAGCUUUUGGUAGUAUGGUAAUUUUCACAAUAUUGGAUCUACUCAUGCAUGAGCAUGGGAUGUGUUUCUGUUUGCUUGUGUCAUCUAAGAUUUCUUUCAGCAGUGUUUUGUGGUUUUCCUUGUAGAGAUCUUUUACCUUCUUGGUUAGGAUAUUCCUAAGUAGUUUAUUUUAUUUUUUGCAGCUAUUGUAAAAGAGGGUGAGUUCUUGAUUUGAUUCUCGGCUUGGUCACUGUUGGUGCAUAGAAGAGCUACUGAUUUAUGUACAUGAAUCUUGUACCUGGAAACUGCUGAAUUCUUUUAUCAGUUCUAGAUUUCUGGAGGAUUCUUUAGGGCUUUUGAAGUAAAUAAUCAUAUUGUCAGCAAACAGUGGCAAUUUCACUUCCUCCUUACUGAUUUAGAUGCCCUUUAUGUUUUUUCUCUUUUCUGUUUGCUCUGGCUAGGACUUCCAUUACCAUGUUGAAGAGAAGUAGUGAAAAUGUAUUAUAUUGGCUGUGGGUUUGUCAUAGAUGGCUCUUAUUACAUUGAGAUAUGUCCCUUGUAUGAUGAUUUUGAUGAGAAUUUUAAUCAUAAAGGGAUAGUGGAUUUUGUCAAAUGCUUUUUCUGCAUCUAUUGAGAUGAGUAUGUGAUUUUUGUUUUUAAUUCUGUUUAUGUGGUGUAUGACAUUUAUUGAUUAAUGUAUGUUAAACCAUUCCUGCAUCCCUGGUAUAAAACCCACUUGAUCCUGGUGAAUUAUCUUUUGAUAUGUUGUUGGAUUCAGUUAGCUAGUAUUUUGUUAAGGAUUUUAGCAUCUAUGUUCAUCAGGGAUAUUGGUCUGUAGUUUCUUUUUUUUGAUUAUUUCCUUUCCUGGUUUUGGUAUUAAAGUGAUGCUAGCUUCAUGGAAUGAAUUAGGGAUGAUUCCUUCUUUCUCUAUCUUGUGGAAUAGUGUCAAUAGGAUUGCACCAAUUCUUCUUUGAAUGUCUGGUAAAAUUCUGCUGUGAAUCUGUUUGGGUCCUGGACUUGUUUUUGUUGGUAAUUUUAAAUGACCAUUUCAAUCUUGCUGCUUGUUAUUGGUCUGUUUGGGAUAUCUAAUUCUUCCUGAUUUAAGCUAGGGUGGUUUUACACUUUCAGGAAUUUAUUUAUCUCUUCUAGGUUUUCUAGUUUAUGUGCGUAAAUGUGUUCAUAGUAGCCUUGAAUGACCUUUUGAAUUUCUGUGGUGUCAGUUGUAAUACAUUCUGUUUCAUUUCUUAUUGAAUUUGAAGGUUAUUUGGAAUUUCUCUCUUAUUUUCUUGGUUAAUCUUGCUAAUGGUCUAUCAGUUUUAUUUGUCUUCUCAAAUAACCAGCUUUUUGUUUCAUUUGUCUUUUGUAUUUUUUUUUUGUUUCAAUUUCAUUUAGUUCUACUCUGAUCUUAGUUAUUUCCUUUCUUCUGCUGGGAUUGGGUUUGGUUUGUUCUUGUUUCUCUAGUUGCUUGAGGUGUGACCUUAGAAUGUCAGUUUGUGCUCUUUAGGUCUUUUUGAUGUGGGUGUUUACGGAUAGGAACUUUCCUCUAGGCACUGCCUUUGCUGUAUCCCAGAAGUUUUGAUAGGUUGUGUCACUAUUGUUGUUCAGUUCAAAGAAUUUUUAAAUUUCCAUCUUGAUUUCGUUUUUGACCCAAUGAUCAUUUAGGAGCAGGCUAUUUAAUUUUCAUGUCUUUGCAUGGUUUUCAAGGUUCCUUCUGGAGUCAGUUUCCAGUUUUAUUCCACUGUGGUCUGAGAGAGUGCUUGAUAUAAUUUCAAUUUUCUUAGAUAUACUGAGGCUCAUUUUGUGGUCCAUCAUAUGGUCUGUUUUGGAGAAAGUUCCAUACACUGUUGAAUAGAAUGUGUAUUUGUGGUUGUUGGAUGGAAUGUUCUAUAUGUAUCUGUGAAGUCCAUUUGUUCCGAGGUGUAGUUUAAAGCCAUUGUUUCUCUGUUGACUUUCCAUCUUGAUGACCCGUCUGGUGCUGUCAGUGGAGUGUUGAAGUCCCCCACUAUUAUUGUGUUACUGUCUAUCUCAUUUCUUAGGUCUAUUAGUAAUUACUUACAAAUUUGGGAGCUCCAGUGUUAGAUGCAUAUAUGUUUAGUAUUGUGAUAUUUUCCUGUCAGACACGGUCUUUUGCCAUUAUGUAAUGCUCCUCUUUGUCUUUUUUAACAGCUGUUGCUUUAAAGUUUGUUUUGUCUGAUAUAAGAAUAGCUACCCCUACUUGCUUUUGGUGUCCAUUUGCAGCACAAAAUGUCCUUUUCCGUCCCUUUACUUUAAGUUUAUGUGAGUCCUUAUGUGUUAUGUAAGUCUGUUGAAGGCAGCAUAAUCGGUUGGUUAAUUCUUAUCCAUUAUGAAUCUUUUAAGUGGCACAUUUAGGCCAUUUACAUUCAAUGUUAGUAUUGAAAUGUGAGGUACCAUUGCAUUUAUUUAUGCUUUUUAUUGCCUGUGUGCCUUGGUUUUUUGUUCUUUGUUUUUGAUUUUUAAAUUGUAUUUUUCUUUUAUAGGUCCUGUGUUAUGCUUUAAAGAGGUUCUGUUUUGGUGUGUUUCCAGGAAUUGUUUCAAGAUUUAGAGCUCCUUUUAGUAUUUCUUGUAGUGGUGGCUUGGUAGUGACAAAUUCUCUCAUCAUUUGUUUGUCUGGAAAAGACUAUAUUUUUCCUUCAUAUAUGAUGCUUAGUUUCACUGGAUAUAAAAUUCUUGGCUGAUAGUUGUUUUCUUUGAGGAGGUUAAAGAUAGGGUCCCAAUCACUUCCAGCUUGUAGGGUUUCUGCUGAGAAAUAUGCUGUUAAUCUGAUAAGUUUUCCUUUAUAGGUUACCUGGUGCUUUUGUCUCACUGCUCUUCAGAUUCUUUCCUUUGUCUUAACUUUAGAUAACCUGAUGACAAUGUGC